GCGGCCGAUCAGAUGUCCCAAUGAUAAGUCCAUAAGUGCAACCUGAGCACAAAAGCAGCUCACCCCGUCUGUGACUGCCAGUGACCUAGUAUUGUGACCUAGUAUUCAGAGGCAUAUUGCCUCCGACCAUGGAGGGAGAAAACCUAGCCAAUUGGCUAGUAGCCAAUGAUAGCCUUCUCCUAUAUGAAUUUGCCUGACCUUCAUUUAAAGUCCUUGAAGAGGCAGCACCAGUCCUGAGAAAUGGGACUAUCUUUGGAAAAUUCAAAUGACCCUUGAGAUUUUCUGCUGCUCUAGGUUCCACGCCUCGCUCCUGGUUCGGCUAGUUGGAGAUGUGGGCGCUCAUUAGGGCUUUUAAGAAGGAUCGAGAUGCGAGCGCUUUCCAAAAGCACUGGAGAAGCACCAUCCCCUCCCCAAAUGUGCUGCCGCAUAUCCAGGUGCUGACUCGAGAGGCUGAACAGGGUUCCCUUGUUGACGAGAAGCCGGGCCUGUGCUGUAAUUGGAUCCUGAAGGACGAGGAGAGUGUGCAGAACAUCUCAUGCUGUUUGGGAGCAUGGCCAGGGUGUGUAUGUGUGGGGAGAGACACGCUCCCUUGAACAAAAACAAAGCUGAAACAAAGGUGUUACAGGCUGCUGCUGGAAUAGCCUCAAAAUGUACAAUAUACUUUUAAAGGAUAUUUCUGAGGAGAGCUGGGAAAGGUUCAGAAAAGGGCAACAAAAAUUAUCAAGGUGGUGAAGCAACUCCCCUAUGAGGAAAGGUUGCAGCAUUUGUGAUUUUUUAGUUUAAAAGCAAUAAAGAAAGAAGUGACGUGACAGAAGUUCAUAAUGUUAUGCAUGGCAUGGGGUAGGUAGAAAAAGGUUUUCCUUUCUCUCUCCUAACACUAGAAAUUUGGAGAUCCAGUGAAGCUGAAGGUUGGAAGCUUCAGAACAGAUAAAACAAAGGAUUGCUUCACACAUCACAUAGUCAUAUUAUGGAACUAAUUCUCACAGGAGACAGUGAUGGCCACCAAGUUGGGGUGCUUUAAAAGAUGAUUAGACAAAUUCAUAAAGGAUAAGGCUAUCAAUGGCUAAUAACCCCAAUUACCAGGUUUUACUGCUAUGGUCGGAGGAGAGUAAUGCUUCUUAAUACCAGUUGCUGGAAACCACAGGAGGGGACAGUGCUCUUUUGCUCGAAUCCUGCUUGAGGGUUCCCCAUAGGCCUCUGGUUGGCCACUAUGGGAACAGGGUGUUGGACUCGAUGGCCCAUUGGCCUGAUCCAACAGACUCUUCUUAGGCACUUAUGAAUACUCAGUUCA